rnacentral:lncRNA from 1 species
CUAGACAUGUACACCUUACAAUCAUUCCAUACAACAAAUAUAGUAGACCUAUUGCAUAAAGUAUGAGAAUAACAGACCAAAACACAAAAAUCUAACUAUAACCACUGAACCAUGAAAAUGAGGUCAAGGUCAGAUGACACCUGCCAGUUGGACAUGUACACCUUACAGUCCUUCCAUACACCGAAUAUAUUAGCCCUAUUGCUUAUAGUAUCUGAGAUAUGGACUUGACCACCAAAACUUAACCUUGUUCACUGAUCCAUGAAAUGAGGUCGAGGUCAAGUGAAAACUGUCUGACAGACAUGAGGACCUUGCAAGGUACACACAUAUCAAAUAUAGUUAUCCUAUUA